rnacentral:tRNA from 1 species
GUGGUGGCUCAGUGGUAGAGCGCUUGCCUAGCAUGUGUGAGGCACUAGGUUCAAUCCUCAGCACCACA